rnacentral:rRNA from 1 species
AGCGAACGCUGGCGGCAGGCUUAACACAUGCAAGUCGAACGGGCAUAGCAAUAUGUCAGUGGCAGACGGGUGAGUAACGCGUGGGAACGUACCUUUUGGUUCGGAACAACACAGGGAAACUUGUGCUAAUACCGGAUAAGCCCUUACGGGGAAAGAUUUAUCGCCGAAAGAUCGGCCCGCGUCUGAUUAGCUAGUUGGUAGGGUAAUGGCCUACCAAGGCGACGAUCAGUAGCUGGUCUGAGAGGAUGAUCAGCCACAUUGGGACUGAGACACGGCCCAAACUCCUACGGGAGGCAGCAGUGGGGAAUAUUGGACAAUGGGCGAAAGCCUGAUCCAGCCAUGCCGCGUGAGUGAUGAAGGCCCUAGGGUUGUAAAGCUCUUUUGUGCGGGAAGAUAAUGACGGUACCGCAAGAAUAGGCCCCGGCUAACUUCGUG